rnacentral:rRNA from 1 species
UACGUAGGGGGCAAGCGUUGUCCGGAUGUAUUGGGCGUAAAGAGCGUGUAGGCGGCCUGAAAGGUCAGCUGUGAAAACUCGAGGCUCAACCUCGAGACGUCGGUUGAAACCAUCUGGCUAGAGUCCGGAAGAGGAGUGUGGAAUUCCCGGUGUAGCGGUGAAAUGCGCAGAUAUCGGGAAGAACACCCGUGGCGAAGGCGGCACUCUGGGACGGUACUGACGCUGAGACGCGAAAGCGUGGGGAGCGAACAGG